ensembl:misc_RNA Y_RNA Y RNA
GGCUGAGUCUGAAGGUGAUGAGUUAUCUCCAUUAUAACAGAGUCAGUUACACAUAAAACUCGUCCUCCUCUUUCCCCUCUUGUCACUACUCCACUUGACUAGUCUAAA